ensembl:lncRNA
GCGGUGACGGUGACAACAGCCCCACGAUGACCCCGAGGGACAACACCCGGCGCUUCGCGUCACCCGCGCCGAUGUCACCCUUCGAGCGUCACCCAUUUGUCACCCGUUUCAUUGUCACCAUUUUGUCACCCCUUCAGUGUCACCCUACUACCAUCACCCGCUUGUCACCCUUUCGGUGUCACCAUUUUGUCACCCGUUUCGCGACCACCAUUUUGUCACCCUUUUGGUGUCACCAUUUUACUGUCACCCAUUUGUCACCAUUUUGUCACCCCUUCCAUGUCACCCUCCUACUGUCACCCGCUUGUCACCCCUUCGGUGUCACCAUUUUCCUGUCACCCUUUCGGUGUCACCAUUUUGUCACCCGUUUCGCGACCACCAUUUUGUCACCCUUUUGGUGUCACCAUUUUGUCACCCUUUCCGUGUCACCCUUUCGGUGUCACCCAAUUGUCACCAUUUUGUCACCCCUUCCAUGUCACCCUCCUACCGUCACCCGCUUGUCACCCUUUCAGUGGCACCCUUUUCCUGUCACCCAUUUCAGUGUUACCCUCUUGGUGUCACCAUUUUGUCACCUUUUCCAUGUCACCCUUCUACCGUUACCCGCUUGUCACCCUUUCGGUGUCACCCUUUUCCUGUCACCCGUUUCAGUGUCACCCUUUUGUCACCCUUUCGGUGUCACCAUUUUGUCACCCGUUUCGCGACCACCAUUUUGUCACCCGUUUCGCAACCACCAUUUUGUCACCCUUUUGUCACCUUUUUGGUGUCACCAUUUUACUGUCACCCAUUUGUCACCAUUUUGUCACCCUUUCCGUGUCACCCUUCUACCGACACCCGCUUGUCAUCUUUUUGGUGUCACCGUUUUCCUGUCACCCAUUUCAGUGUCACCAUUUUGUCACCCCUUCAGUGUCACCCUUCUACCGUCACCCGCUUGUCACCCUUUCGGUGUCACCAUUUUGUCACCCGUUUCGCGACCACCAUUUUGUCACCAUUUUGGUGUCACCAUUUUGUCACCCUUUCCGUGUCACCCUUUCAGUGUCACCCAUUUGUCACCAUUUUGUCACCCCUUCCAUGUCACCCUUCUACCGUUACCCGCUUGUCACCCUUUCGGUGGCACCCUUUUCCUGUCACCCGUUUCAGUGUCACCAUUUUGUCACCCCUUCAGUGUCACCCUUCUACUGUCACCCGCUUGUCACCCUUUCGGUGUCACCAUUUUGUCACCCGUUUCGCGACCACCAUUUUGUCACCCUUUUGGUGUCACCAUUUUGUCAACGCUUCAGUGUCACCAUUUUACUGUCACCCAUUUGUCACCAUUUUGUCACUCCUUCAAUGUCACCCUUCUACCAUCACCCGCUUGUCACCCUUUCGGUGUCACUGUUUUCCUGUCACCUAUUUCAGUGUCACCCUUUUGUCACCCCUUCCGUGUCACCAUUUUACUGUCACCCAUUUGUCACCAUUUUGUCACCCCUUCAGUGUCACCCUUUCAUUGUCACCGUUUCGGUGUCACCAUUUUGUCACCCAUCCGUGUCACUAUUCUACCAUCACCCAUUUGUCACCCACUUUGGUGUCACCAUUUUGUCACCCUUUCACUGUCACCAUUUCGGUGUCACCCACUUGUCACCAUUUUGUCACCCCUUCAGUGUCACCCACUUGUCACCAUUUUGUCACCCGUUCGUGUCACCCUUUCACUGUCACCGUUUCGGUGUCACCCAUUUGUCACCAUUUUGUCACCGUCCCGUUGUCCCUCGCCGCCACCUGUGGAAGCCACACCCGGAGCUCAGCCAUCACCCCAAAUCCCCCAUUUCUCACCCCAAAAACGGUGUCCCCAUGUCGGAGCGGCACCCGGAGGACGGCGGUGUCACCUCUGUCCCCUCCACGGGGCCGUCCCCGUGUCCCUCUCCCUCCGGUUCUUACGUGGGGGGGCACCGGUGGCCACC